ACCUUACUGCUAUCGGGGUGGGACUAAGACAUGCGAGUCAUGCGUCUCUAGCUAUGUUGAGACGCGGCAGACGGCUAAGUAACGCGUGGCUAACCUGCCCUCAGGACGAAGAUAACCCCGGGAAACUGGGGAUAAUAUUCGAUAGGUGAGGAUGUCUGGAAUGACUUCUCUCCUAAAGGACUUAGAUACAUGCUUCUAUUUCGCCUGGGGAUGGGGCCGCGCCCGAUCAGGUUGUUGGUGAGGUAACGGCUCACCAAGCCUAUAACCGGUACGGGCCGUGAGAGCGGUAGCCCGGAGAUGGGUACUGAGACAAGGACCCAGGCCCUACGGGGCGCAGCAGUCGCGAAAACUCCGCAAUGCACGAAAGUGUGACGGGGCUACCCCGAGUGCCAUCCGCUGAGGAUGGCUUUUCUUUGGUAUAACUAGCCAUGGGAAUAAGGAGAGGGCAAGACUGGUGUCAGCCGCCGCGGUAAUACCAGCUCUCCGAGUGGUAGGGAUGAUUAUUGGGCUUAAAGCGUCCGUAGCCGGCUUAGCAAGUUUCCUGUUAAACUCAGCGACUCAAUCGUUGGAUCGCGGGAAAUACUACUAGGCUAGGAGGCGGGAGAGGUCAACGGUACUUCUGGGGUAGGGGUGAAAUCCUAUAAUCCCGGGAGGACCACCAGUGGCGAAGGCUGUUGACUAGAACGCGCUCGACGGUGAGGGACGAAAGCUGGGGGAGCGAACCGGAUUAGAUACCCGGGUAGUCCCAGCUGUAAACGAUGCGAGCUAGGUGUUGGAAUGGCUACGGGCCAUUUCAGUGCCGCAGGGAAGCCAUUAAGCUCGCCGCCUGGGGAGUACGGCCGCAAGGCUGAAACUUAAAGGAAUUGGCGGGGGAGCACCACAAGGCGUGAAGCUUGCGGUUC
rnacentral:rRNA from 1 species